rnacentral:rRNA from 1 species
CGUAAGCAACCUGCCUAUCANAGGGGAAUAACAGUGAGAAAUCAUUGCUAAUACCGCAUAAGCUAGUAGUAUCGCAUGAUAUAGCUAGAAAAGGAGCAAUCCGCUGAUAGAUGGGCUUGCGUCUGAUUAGCUAGUUGGUGGGGUAACGGCCUACCAAGGCGACGAUCAGUAGCCGGACUGAGAGGUUGAACGGCCACAUUGGGACUGAGAUACGGCCCAGACUCCUACGGAAGGCAGCAG